rnacentral:tRNA from 1 species
GCUCCAGUGGCGCAAUCGGUUAGCGCGCGGUACUUAUAAUGCCGAGGUUGUGAGUUCGAUCCUCACCUGGAACA